rnacentral:lncRNA from 1 species
CUUGAUAAAAGGAGAGACUCUCUGUCAGCUGCCCGCAUCCUCCCUGAAGCUCUGGAAUCUGACUUCAUGGAGCAUUUGAGCAGCUAAGCUUUUCCUGACCCCCUCCCUCCCACCACCACUCCCGCCUUCCCCCAGUUGCUGAGCAUAAUUGAGAAUUAAUUGCAUGUCUGCUUAUUAUUUUGCUUACUUAAUUUGGUCUAAACGUUGUUCACACUCCAGACUUAAGGCCUGGAAGUGGCUGUCUUCAGGGACCAUUUCUGAGCUCAGCAAACCUUCCCAGCAGGACCUGAUCUCUCCAAGACAGGCGCUCCAGUGGAUCUGAGUUAGAUCGGUGUAUAGAUCAGAGUUCCUAAGAAGCAAUGGACAAAGACCCAGAGUCUGUGCUGGGGGCCUUGGAAGGCUCUAAACCCUGAGCAGCAGUUUACAGAAGAGGCGAACAAUAUGGAUAUGGAGACAAUCUCUUAGGAGACUUGGGAGUGCUCUCCUGUAGGAUCCAAGACUUCUCAUCUUUCCGAUGCGAACUGAAUUAUGCUAGCAUGUCAACCAGGACAUUUCAGAGAAGCAUCGAACAGAAACGUGUUAGUAAACCUCUUACCAGAACACCCUCACUAUCGAUUUUUUUUUGUCACUAAAACACAAACCAGCAUGGGACAUUAAACAGGACCUUUGGUAUUUGGUGUUGGGAAAAUGCCCCCUUGGAUCUAGAGCUCUUUAGGAGUAAUGGCUUCCCGAAAAGAACUAUAGAGAAAAAGAAGGCAGAAUAACCCAGGUGCCUGAGCAUCUUUGAGGAGGCCCCGAUGUGACUACCUGAAACCAGUCUAUGUCAGCACUUCUUGCUACCUGAGAUAUACAUUAUUCAUGGUUUAAGCCAUUCUGAGUCAGGACUUUUUUUUUAUUGAAACUCGGAGCUGGAAAUAGCCAAGUUUACCCACCAAGAAUAACAUCUGGAUUAUGAACCCUGGAAAUAUAACCACUGUCAUUUUGUGUCCCUGGACUAUAUUAAGCUCUACCACAUGGUUUCCAACUUGAGAGUCACUUAGGUUGUCUGUACAGGUGUAUGAGGAAAAGAAAAUCUUAUUUAUGAAUGGAGUGUGGUGAUACACCCUAUCCCGAGCUUUUGUCCCCACCAGCAAGAACAUGCUCAGGACAACCGGAAUCUUCUGCGGCAAAAGCUUUAUUGCUUACUUCUUUAGGAACAAGAGGAGAAGAAUAGGGGCGAAUGGCAAAACCCUGUCCCUUUUAUGGAGGAUUGUCCUCCGCCUCGGACAUGUCGCUCCCUGAUUGGCUGCAGCCCAUCAACCGAGUUGUCGUCAAGGGGAAGGCAGAGCACAUGGAGUGGAGAACUACCCCGGCACAUGCGCAGAUUAUUUGUUUACUACUUAGAACACAGGAUGUCGGCGCCAUCUUGUAAUGGUGAAUGUGAGGGUGGCUCCUCACAACAUCCCUUUAAUCCCAGUACUGAAGGCAGAGGCAGGUGGAUUUCUGAGUCUGAAGACAGCCUGGUAUAGAGAGCUAGUUCCAGGGCUAUACAAGAAGACUCUGUCUUGCAAAAAAUGAAACAAAACAAAAUAAAACAAAUGAAUAAACAAAAA